rnacentral:misc_RNA from 1 species
UGACCAACUCACCGUAAUGGUGGUCUUGGGGAUGGCUAACUAGCCUCCCUUAAAAUCAGUGGCGGUGCUGUCAAGCUCUAAGCGUAGUAAUUUUCUCGCUAUAGCGUCUUGAUGGUGACUUGCCAUAACCCCAACUCUUUUAAGG